AAGGGAGAGUAACGGGUGGUUACUUACCCUCAGGACCGGAAUAGUGUCGGGAAACUGACAGUAAUGCCGGAUAAUAUCUUUGGAUCAAAGGUGUGAUUCCGCCUGGGGAUAGGACCGCUUUCUAUUAGCUUGUUGGCGGGGUAAUGGCCCACCAAGGCUGAGAUGGAUACCGGGUGUGAGAGCAUGGCCCGGCUCACUGGGACUGAGACACUGCCCAGACACCUACGGGUGGCUGCAGUCGAGAAUCUUCGGCAAUGGGCGAAAGCCUGACCGAGCGACGCCGCGUGCGGGAUGAAGGCCUUCGGGUUGUAAACCGCUGUCAGUUGGGAGGAAGGUGCUGUGGAGAGCAGCAUUUGACCGAUCUUCAGAGGAAGGACGGGCUAAGUUCGUGCCAGCAGCCGCGGUAAGACGAACCGUCCGAACGUUAUUCGGUAUCACUGGGCUUAAAGAGUUCGUAGGCGGCCUAGUAGGUGAGGUGUGAAAUCCAACGGCUCAACCGUUGAAUUGCGCUUCAAACCGCUAGGCUCGAGGAUGGCAGGGGUGUUGGGAACAGAUGGUGGAGCGGUGAAAUGCGUUGA
rnacentral:rRNA from 1 species